UGCGGAAUUUUAGAUAAUGGAGGGAACUCUGAUCUAGCGACGCCGCGUGCAGGAAGAAGGUCUUCGGAUUGUAAACUGCUGUGGUAAGGGAAAAACGCUAUGUAGAGUGGAAAGCUACAUAGAGGGAUGGUACCUAACUAGAAAGCCCCGGCUAACUACGUGCCAGCAGCCGCGGUAAUACGUAGGGGGCGAGCGUUACCCGGAAUCACUGGGCGUAAAGGGAGCGUAGGUGGCCUAACAUGUCAACUGUGAAAACCCGGAGCUCAACUCCGGACUUGCAGUUGAAACUGGUAGGCUUGAGGACGGUAGAGGAAGACGGAACUGCCAGUGUAGAGGUAAAAUCCUUAGAUAUUGGCAGGAACGCCGGUGACGAAGGUGGUUUUCUGGGCCGGUUCUGACACUGAUGCUCGAAAGCCAGGGGAGCGAACGG
rnacentral:rRNA from 1 species